CUCCAGCAUUGCCAGUAUUGGAGGCACUGCCUGCCCAGUGACGUCCGUUAAACGGCCGCGGUAUCCUGACCGUGCAAAGGUAGCAUAAUCAUUUGUUCUCUAAAUAGGGACUUGUAUGAAUGGCCACACGAGGGUUUAACUGUCUCUUACUUCUAAUCAGUGAAAUUGACCUUCCCGUGAAGAGGCGGGAAUAUUACAAUAAGACGAGAAGACCCUAUGGAGCUUUAAUUAAUCAGCCCAAACUUAUGAACUAUAACCCCCACUGGGAAUAACAUACUACCAUUGUUAUGGGCUGACAAUUUAGGUUGGGGUGACCUCGGAAUAUAAAAAAACUCCCGAGUGAUUAAAAUUUAGACCUACUAGUCAAAAUGCACUAUCACUUAUUGAUCCAAUAAUCUUUGAUCAACGGAACA
rnacentral:rRNA from 1 species